UUAAGUUCAGCCGAAUCUUUUUACUGCCUUGACUUACGCAUUGAAGAAGAUUCAUCAUCUGCCUAGGAGUAUAUUCCUUCAACAAAGGCAUAAACAAAAUUAUUAGCUGCUGACGACGCGAAUUUCUUAAAUUAAUGACAACGAAUUUUCAGGUAAAUAAUAUGCCUUUAUGUAUGUUUCGACAAUAUGUGGGUCAGGAAGAGGUCUUAGACGUGUCAAGCUUUCCACUUUGACUUGAAAAUGCCUGAAGUCUAACUGCAUUAGUGCACGACCUUCGUUCGUGCAUUUUCUUACAGCGGAAAAUCUAAAGAAUUUCAAAUCGGAUACGGUCUUACAUAAAGGAGGCAGAAUCUGAGGGUAACAGACACGAAGGACACUCAAGUCGUAGUCACUGAGAACCUGCGAAAGAAAUAAGAAUUACAUCAUAGAUGGAAUAUGAUUUUGAUAGCUUUUCGUUUCAACAAGAUAUAUGAAGAUAUCUGAGGGAGCAAUUUUUGGAACAAUUGGACAACAGUCUAAACCGUGUUUCCACAGAGAAUUAGGAAUACAAUAUGGACAAUCACUGUUAAACAUUUGUAACUUUUCCAAAUAACGUGUUUUGGCCUCAAUACUAAGUCCACUGGCAUAAUUAGACAGUGACAUAGUUAAACACUAA